ACGCUGGCGGCAGGCCUAACACAUGCAAGUCGAGCGGUAGAGAGAAGCUUGCUUCUCUUGAGAGCGGCGGACGGGUGAGUAAUGCCUAGGAAUCUGCCUGGUAGUGGGGGAUAACGUUCGGAAACGGACGCUAAUACCGCAUACGUCCUACGGGAGAAAGCAGGGGACCUUCGGGCCUUGCGCUAUCAGAUGAGCCUAGGUCGGAUUAGCUAGUUGGUGGGGUAAUGGCUCACCAAGGCGACGAUCCGUAACUGGUCUGAGAGGAUGAUCAGUCACGCUGGAACUGAGACACGGUCCAGACUCCUACGGGAGGCAGCAGUGGGGAAUAUUGGACAAUGGGCGAAAGCCUGAUCCAGCCAUGCCGCGUGUGUGAAGAAGGUCUUCGGAUUGUAAAGCACUUUAAGUUGGGAGGAAGGGUUGUAGAUUAAUACUCUGCAAUUUUGACGUUACCGACAGAAUAAGCACCGGCUAACUCUGUGCCAGCAGCCGCGGUAAUACAGAGGGUGCAAGCGUUAAUCGGAAUUACUGGGCGUAAAGCGCGCGUAGGUGGUUAGUUAAGUUGGAUGUGAAAUCCCCGGGCUCAACCUGGGAACGCAUUCAAAACUGACUGACUAGAGUAUGGUAGAGGGUGGUGGAAUUUCCUGUGUAGCGGUGAAAUGCGUAGAUAUAGGAAGGAACACCAGUGGCGAAGGCGACCACCUGGACUGAUACUGACACUGAGGUGCGAAAGCGUGGGGAGCAAAC
rnacentral:rRNA from 1 species